UCUCCCUCAAUGACAGGUUAUCCCUCUCAACCUGUAGUUUCUCAUAUAAGGCCUGAUACUGGAAAACUUCUGAUUUUGACUUUUCUAAUUGAUCUCUCAACAAACGGUAGGCUUGUGAAGAAGAAAUACACUUCACAUUCUUCAAUGAGUCCUGCAAAUUUGAUAAUUGUUGCAAUAUUGUUAUCCUUUCAUCAUGAAGACCUUUCAAUUUCAGUAGUCGAGAAGAAGCUUCAUCUUGAAGCUC
rnacentral:misc_RNA from 1 species